UACGGAGGGGGCUAGCGUUGUUCGGAAUUACUGGGCGUAAAGCGCGCGUAGGCGGCUUUGUAAGUUAGAGGUGAAAGCCCGGAGCUCAACUCCGGAACUGCCUUUAAGACUGCAUCGCUGGAGUGCGGCAGAGGGGGAUGGAAUUCCGCGUGUAGCAGUGAAAUGCGCAGAUAUCAGGAAGAACACCCGUGGCGAAGGCGGUUCUCUGGGACGGUACUGACGCUGAGACGCGAAAGCGUGGGGAGCGAACAGG
rnacentral:rRNA from 1 species